CCUACGGGUGGCAGCAGUGAGGAAUAUUGGUCAAUGGCCGAGAGGCUGAACCAGCCAAGUCGCGUGAGGGAAGAAUGUCCUAUGGAUUGUAAACCUCUUUUGUCAGGGAGCAAAGUCACCCACGUGUGGGUGUUGGAGAGUACCUGAAGAAAAAGCAUCGGCUAACUCCGUGCCAUCAGCCGCGGUAAUACGGAGGAUGCGAGCGUUAUCCGGAUUUAUUGGGGUUAAAGGGUGCGUAGGGGGGUUAUCAAGUCGGCGGUAAAAUCGUGGAGCUAAACUCCAUCCAGCAGUUGAAACUGAUGAUCGUGAGUGGGCGAGAGGUAUGCAGAAUGCGUGGUGGAGCGGUGAAAUGCAUAGAGAUCACGAAGAACUCCGAUGGCGAAGGCAGCAUACCGGCGACCGACUGACGCUGAGGCACGAAAGCGUGGGUAUCGAACAGGAUUAGAUACCCCGGUAGUC
rnacentral:rRNA from 1 species